GGAAUUACUGAAUGAUUGCUUAACUCCAGGUUUCAUUUUGGUUCUGGAGACAUGGUCGUGCAUUGGUGCAUAAGGGAGUGUUCGUGAUGGCGAAUGAGCCCAGUAAGAUUUUAUCAUGACUACUGAAAAGCAUGCCACAUAUGAUUUCCAGUUUUUGAUGGAGCAACAAAAAUAUGACCCCAAUUUCCACUCAUUAUCAGAGAGCUGAAUUCUAAAUCAACGAUUGUGGAGAAGAGAUGUGCAAGUUGAAUAAAACAUUUCCAGAAGAGCCUGAAUAAUGGUCCUGAAUAAAGGGAAACUGAAAUGUGCUUGAAUUGUAAUUGGAGAAAAAUCAAGUGUGUGUACUCAGGAGCACAUCUACUAAGAAGAGGCCCUGAGACUGUUUUAAGAACAUCUUUGUAGAGGCAUCUAAAUUACAUUUCUGUUUAAGUCUUGUUUUAAACAAUAGUUCAUCUGAGGCAAGAGGAAUGUGUAAAGACUUUUGUGACUCUGAGAAGAUCUAUGAAAGAAAGUAAUUGAAGAAAUGCUUUACACCAAAAGUAAUUCGAGCUAUUGUUCUUAAAGCUUGUGUGUCAGAAAUAACUUCUGGAAAGAGCUGUGCUUCUCUGAGAUUUGCAAUCCACUACUGUGCAAAAAUUGCUAUCAAAAUGCACUGUUACCGUGUAAACAUAAUGCGCGUCUGUCCUCUUAAACAUUCGUCGACACAUAUGGAUAGAAAGAGAGAAUGAGCUUUACGGUUCUAUUUCAGCUGAUUCUUAGGUGAGACUAAGGUUUGAGGAAAUUGACUUUAAAAAAAAUAACAAAUAAG
ensembl:lncRNA